rnacentral:rRNA from 1 species
UGCUGGAGGUAUCAGAAGUGCGAAUGCUGACAUAAGUAACGAUAAAGCGGGUGAAAAGCCCGCUCGCCGGAAGACCAAGGGUUCCUGUCCAACGUUAAUCGGGGCAGGGUGAGUCGACCCCUAAGGCGAGGCCGAAAGGCGUAGUCGAUGGGAAACGGGUUAAUAUUCCCGUACUUGGUGUUACUGCGAAGGGGGGACGGAGAAGGCUAUGUUGGCCGGGCGACGGUUGUCCCGGUUUAAGCGUGUAGGCUGGUUUUCCAGGCAAAUCCGGAAAAUCAAGGCUGAGGCGUGAUGACGAGGCACUACGGUGCUGAAGCAACAAAUGCCCUGCUUCCAGGAAAAGCCUCUAAGCAUCAGGUAACAYSAAAUCGUACCCCAAACCGACACAGGUGGUCAGGUAGAGAAUACCAAGGCGCUUGAGAGAACUCGGGUGAAGGAACUAGGCAAAAUGGUGCCGUAACUUCGGGAGAAGGCACGCUGACACGUAGGUGAAGUGAUUUACUCAUGGAGCUGAAGUCAGUCGAAGAUACCAGCUGGCUGCA